rnacentral:tRNA from 1 species
UGAGGUAGCUUAGUGGUAGAGCACUUCCCUAGCCAGCAUGAAGCCCUGGGUUCCAUUCCCAGUACUGCAA